rnacentral:sRNA from 1 species
GACCGAUGACGCCCGAGUGCAACCGAAUG